rnacentral:rRNA from 1 species
AGCGAACGCUGGCGGCAGGCCUAACACAUGCAAGUCGAACGAAGUCUUCGGACUUAGUGGCGGACGGGUGAGUAACACGUGGGAACGUGCCUUUAGGUUCGGAAUAACUCAGGGAAACUUGUGCUAAUACCGAAUGUGCCCUUCGGGGGAAAGAUUUAUCGCCUUUAGAGCGGCCCGCGUCUGAUUAGCUAGUUUGUGAGGUAAAGGCUCACCAAGGCUACGAUCAGUAGCUGGUCUGAGAGGAUGACCAGCCACAUUGGGACUGAGACACGACCCAAACUCCUACGGGAGGCAGCAGUGGGGAAUCUUGCGCAAUGGGCGAAAGCCUGACGCAGCCAUGCCGCGUGGAUGAUGAAGGUCUUAGGAUUGUAAAAUCCUUUCACCGGUGAAGAUAAUGACUGUAGCCGGAGAAGAAGCCCCGGCUAACUUCGUGCCAGCCGCCGCAGUAAUAC